rnacentral:rRNA from 1 species
AUUGAACGCUGGCGGCAUGCUUUACACAUGCAAGUCGAACGGUAACAGGCCGCAAGGUGCUGACGAGUGGCGAACGGGUGAGUAAUGCAUCGGAACGUGCCCAGUCGUGGGGGAUAACUACUCGAAAGAGUAGCUAAUACCGCAUACGAUCUAUGGAUGAAAGCGGGGGACCGUAAGGCCUCGCGCGAUUGGAGCGGCCGAUGUCAGAUUAGGUAGUUGGUGGGGUAAAGGCUCACCAAGCCAACGAUCUGUAGCUGGUCUGAGAGGACGACCAGCCACACUGGGACUGAGACACGGCCCAGACUCCUACGGGAGGCAGCAGUGGGGAAUUUUGGACAAUGGGCGCAAGCCUGAUCCAGCAAUGCCGCGUGCAGGAAGAAGGCCUUCGGGUUGUAAACUGCUUUUGUACGGAACGAAACGGCUCUGGUUAAUACCCGGGGCUAAUGACGGUACCGUAAGAAUAGGCACCGGCUAACUACGU